AGGAUGAACGCUGGCGGCGUGCUUAACACAUGCAAGUCGAGCGGAAAGGCCCUUCGGGGUACUCGAGCGGCGAACGGGUGAGUAACACGUGAGUAAUCUGCCCCUAGCUCUGGGGAUAGCUCCGGGAAAACCGGGAUUAAUACCUGAUAUGACCACUUUAGACAUCUGCUGUGGUGGAAAGAUUUCGGCUAGGGAUGAGCUCGCGGCCUAUCAGCUUGUUGGUGGGGUAACGCCUACCAAGGCGACGACGGGUA
rnacentral:rRNA from 1 species